rnacentral:other from 1 species
GAAUCCCUGCCCUGCGCGUGAUGAGUCUUUUUAAACCCACAUUUAUAAUAAGGGACGCCGGAUACUCUCCUGGAGAAUUGCAGGCCUCCCGCUUGCAUUCUGCGAGCGGAUGUUGGAAGCAGCGGACCCCGGAGGAGGCAACCCACCUGCAAAUGGUGCAGGGUUAUAAAUGGACUUACACGGCAGCGGCGGGGACAGA